UCUCUCUAGUUUUACAAUGCUAAAUUAGGGACGGCUAGCGCAGACAGCCCUCAUGUAGCUUUGCGCGAAAUUCAAAACAAACAAUUCUUUUUUCUGUAUUUAUUCCAGAAUUCUAGUAUCAUCUGAAGGUAAGCUAACGGAAGAAGAAUUUAAAGAACUCAACAAAAAACUGGCAAGUAUUAGUGAACUUACAAGGCAUUGCCAAGAAAAACAUGAAAAACAAGUAUUUACUGACUCAAAAGUAUUAGAUCAAAAUGUACCUAGCAAAGAUUACGAACGGACAAGAAAAAAGGUGGAGGAAGGUGUCAUUGACAUGUGGUACUAUCUUCGAUCGAACAUUAAAAAAUUGAACAAGAAGCUGAAGUCAGACAAGGAAAUCAUUAAUUCGUUAAACAGUUUCUUGGAGAAUACAGAUCAGCGUACAGGGUCUCUUAUGUUGGAUUUAAAAAAACUCCAGGAAGUAGAUGGCAUGGAAACUUGGAGACAAAAAGAAGCCCAAGAACUUAGUGAUCUGGUCCAGCGGAGACUUAGAUAUCUGCAGAAUCCCAAGGACUGCAGCAAGACUAAUAAGUUAGUGUGUGACAUCGAUAAAAACUGUGGUUUCGGGUGCCAGAUUCAUCAUGCGGUAUACUGUUUUAUUGUAGCAUAUGGAACCCAGCGGACCUUAAUUUUGCGAUCUAAAAACUGGAGAUACUCAAGAGAAGGCUGGGAAGCGAUGUUUCAGCCAAUCAGUGUCAACUGUACUGAUGAAUACGGGGUUUCUCGAGCUAACUGGUCAGAGUCAAAUGAUGCCCAAGUGAUUUAUUUACCGAUUCUUGACGAAGUUCAUCCACGUCCUCCUUACCUUCCUCCUGUCAUUCCUAAAGACCUGUCUGAUAGAUUUAUGCGUCUCCAUAGCAAUCCUAUAGUGUGGUGGAUUGGUCAGUUUUUGAAAUACCUUCUACGUCCACAAGAAAGCUUAUCAAAGUUUCUUAAAGAAGCAGAGAAAAAAGUGGACUUUAAUCUUCCAGUGGUGGGGAUCCAUGUGCGACGAACAGACAAGCUGUGGUCCGAAGGAGCUUUCCACAAAGUAGAGGAAUAUAUGGAACAUGUAAAAACCUAUUAUAAGCAGCUGGAAUUGAAGCAGCCAAUCGAAAAAAGACAAGUGUACAUUGCUACGGAUGAUCCUAAUUUACUCGAAGAAUGCUGGAAUAAGUUUCCUGGCUACACUUUCAUUGGAGAACCAGAUACAGCUAAAGUAGCUGCCGUCAUUGAUACACGUUAUUCUCCUGAAGCGUUGAAAGGUGUUGUAGAAGAUAUCUACAUGUUAUCGAAGACGGACUUAUUGAUCUGCACCUUUUCGUCACAAAUGAGCCAGAUAGUCACGUCGAUUCACACCACUUCGCAUUAUGUUUUCAAAAAGUCAAAAUAAAGAUUCAUUAUUUAUCAACUAUUGGUUUUGGAAGGCACUCUUGAUUGAUUCUCACAUAGAAUGUUCCCGCCUCUGAUGCAGUAUUUGUUUAGAAAAGCUGGGCCGUUUAGCUUAUGAAAUUAUGCAGACUAACCACCCUGACGCUUCAAGUAACUUCCGUUCACUGGACGACAUAUUCUACUUUGGUGGACAAGACUAUCCAUAUCAAACGGUUAUCUAUGACCAUCAAC
rnacentral:misc_RNA from 1 species